GUUCACUCGGGUGUGCCAACAUGACCGUGUAUUGCAGCAUAGCACUUGCAGGAGAAGCACACACAAUUGGGGAAUCACUAAUAAAACCAUGUGCAAAAGAAAUAGUACAAUGUAUUUUAAGUGAGAAGUUGAGUAAAAACAUUGAAGCUGUGCCACUUUCCAACAACACAGUUUUGCGCCGUAUUCAUGAUCAUCUCACUUAAAACUGUGCUAGACAAAUCGGUCCAGAUUUAAUAAUUUUAUAAAAAGUUGACC